GUCAGGAUGAACGCUAGCUACAGGCUUAACACAUGCAAGUCGAGGGGCAGCAUGGUCUUAGCUUGCUAAGGCCGAUGGCGACCGGCGCACGGGUGAGUAACACGUAUCCAACCUGCCGUCUACUCUUGGACAGCCUUCUGAAAGGAAGAUUAAUACAAGAUGGCAUCAUGAGUCCGCAUGUUCACAUGAUUAAAGGUAUUCCGGUAGACGAUGGGGAUGCGUUCCAUUAGAUAGUAGGCGGGGUAACGGCCCACCUAGUCUUCGAUGGAUAGGGGUUCUGAGAGGAAGGUCCCCCACAUUGGAACUGAGACACGGUCCAAACUCCUACGGGAGGCAGCAGUGAGGAAUAUUGGUCAAUGGGCGAGAGCCUGAACCAGCCAAGUAGCGUGAAGGAUGACUGCCCUAUGGGUUGUAAACUUCUUUUAUAAAGGAAUAAAGUCGGGUAUGGAUACCCGUUUGCAUGUACUUUAUGAAUAAGGAUCGGCUAACUCCGUGCCAGCAGCCGCGGUAAUACGGAGGAUCCGAGCGUUAUCCGGAUUUAUUGGGUUUAAAGGGAGCGUAGAUGGAUGUUUAAGUCAGUUGUGAAAGUUUGCGGCUCAACCGUAAAAUUGCAGUUGAUACUGGAUAUCUUGAGUGCAGUUGAGGCAGGCGGAAUUCGUGGUGUAGCGGUGAAAUGCUUAGAUAUCACGAAGAACUCCGAUUGCGAAGGCAGCCUGCUAAGCUGCAACUGACAUUGAGGCUCGAAAGUGUGGGUAUCAACAG
rnacentral:rRNA from 1 species